rnacentral:misc_RNA from 1 species
UACCAAGUCUGGAAAGGCAGCAAUGUAAGCUUAUACUCUCCUUGCGGCUUGGUUAUUGUUAAGCUAAAUUUGGGUACUUUGUUCGUUCGUUUUUCUCUCUCUUUCGUAAUUUUUUGUGGAUUGAAAUGGGAUUUACAGAAUUAUGUAUGAUUAGGGAUGGGGUUUUUCCAAGCUUGGAAUAUGGGGAUUACUAAUGUACUAGAGCAGCUAAAGAUGGGA